rnacentral:misc_RNA from 1 species
GAUGAAGAAGGCAGCGAAAUGCGAUAAGUAAUGUGAAUUGCAGAAUUCAGUGAAUCAUCGAAUCUUUGAACGCACAUUGCGCCCGCCAGUAUUCUGGCGGGCAUGCCUGUUCGAGCGUCAUUUCAACCAUCAAGCCCCAGGCUUGUGUUGGGGACCUGCGGCUGCCGCAGGCCCUGAAAACCAGUGGCGGGCUCGCUGUCACACCGGGCGUAGUAGAUUUUAUCUCGCUCAGGGCGUGCUGCGGGUUCCGGCCGUUAAAAAGCCUUUUUUACCCAAGGUUGACCUCGGAUCAGGUAGGAAGACCCGCUGAACUUAAGCAUAUCAAUAAGCGGAGGA